rnacentral:rRNA from 1 species
CCUGUUUAUCAAAAACAUGUCUUUUUGAAUUUAAUUUAAAGUCUAACCUGCCCACUGAUAAUAUUAAAGGGCCGCAGUAUUCUGACUGUGCGAAGGUAGCAUAAUCAAUAGUCUUUUAAUUGGAGGCUUGUAUGAAUGGUUGAAUGAGAUAUAUACUGUCUUUUUUAAAUUUUUGUAGAACUUUAUUUUUUAAUUAAAAAGUUAAAAUGUAAUUAAAGGACGAGAAGACCCUAUAGAUCUUUAUUUUUGUUAAUUAUAAAUUAAAAAGAAUAAUUAAAUUUAUAGUUUAAUAAAAAAUUUUACUGGGGUGGUAUUAAAAUUUAAAUAACUUUUAUUAUUUAUUUACAUUAAUAUAUGAAUAAUUGAUCCAGUUAUAUUGAUUAAAAAAUUAAGUUACCUUAGGGAUAACAGCGUAAUUUUUUUUUAGAGUUCAUAUCGACAAAAAAGAUUGCGACCUCGAUGUUGGAUUAAGAGUUAUUUUUAGGUGUAGAAGUUUAAAGUU